GACAGAGGGGGCAAGCGUUGCUCGGAAUCACUGGGCGUAAAGGGCGCGUAGGCGGGAUGGCAAGUCGGUCGUGAAAUCCUUCGGCUCAACCGAAGAACGUCGGCCGAUACUGCCGUUCUUGAGGGAUGCAGAGGAGAUUGGAAUUCCCGGUGUAGCGGUGAAAUGUGUAGAGAUCGGGAGGAACACCGGUGGCGAAGGCGGGUCUCUGGGCAUCUCCUGACGCUGAGGCGCGAAAGCGUGGGGAGCAAACGGGAUUAGAUACCCCGGUAGUCCACGCUGUAAACGAUGACGACUAGGUGUGGGGGGGGUUAGUCCUUUCCGUGCCGCAGCUAACGCAUUAAGUCGUCCGCCUGGGGAGUACGGCCGCAAGGUUGAA
rnacentral:rRNA from 1 species